UACGGGGGGGGGCAAGCGUUGUUCGGAAUUACUGGGCGUAAAGGGCUCGUAGGCGGCCAACUAAGUCAGACGUGAAAUCCCCAGGCUCAACCUGGGAACUGCGUCUGAUACUGGAUGGCUUGAAUUCGGGAGAGGGAUGCAGAAUUCCAGGUGUAGCGGUGAAAUGCGUAGAUAUCUGGAGGAAUACCGGUGGCGAAGGCGGCAUCCUGGACCGACAUUGACGCUGAGGAGCGAAAGCUAGGGGAGCAAACGGG
rnacentral:rRNA from 1 species